AGAGCGAACGCUGGCGGCAGGCCUAACACAUGCAAGUCGAGCGCCCGUAGCAAUACGGGAGCGGCAGACGGGAUAGUAACACGUGGGAACGCGCCCUUCGGUUCGGAAUAACUCAGGGAAACUUGAGCUAAUACCGGAUACGCCCUUACGGGGAAAGAUUUAUUGCCGAAGGAACGGCCCGCGUCCGAUUAGCUUGUUGGUGAGGUAACGGCUCACCAAGGCAACGAUCGGUAGCUGGUCUGAGAGGAUGACCAGCAUCACUGGGACUGAGACACGGCCCAGACUCCUACGGGAGGCAGCAGUGGGGAAUAUGGACAAUGGGCGCAAGCCUGAUCCAGCCAUGCCGCGUGGAUGAUGAAGGCCUUAGGGUUGUAAAGUCCGUUUUAACGGGGAAGAUAAUGACGGUACCCGUAGAAUAGCCCGGCUAACUUCGUGCCAGCAGCCGAC
rnacentral:rRNA from 1 species